rnacentral:rRNA from 1 species
GACGAACGCUGGCGGCGUGCUUAACACAUGCAAGUCGAACGGAAAGGCCCUGCUUUUGUGGGGUGCUCGAGUGGCGAACGGGUGAGUAACACGUGAGUAACCUGCCCUUGACUUUGGGAUAACUUCAGGAAACUGGGGCUAAUACCGGAUAGGAGCUCCUGCUGCAUGGUGGGGGUUGGAAAGUUUCGGCGGUUGGGGAUGGACUCGCGGCUUAUCAGCUUGUUGGUGGGGUAGUGGCUUACCAAGGCUUUGACGGGUAGCCGGCCUGAGAGGGUGACCGGCCACAUUGGGCCUGAGAUACGGCCCAGACUCCUACGGGAGGCAGCAGUGGAGAAUAUUGCACAAUGGGCGGGAGCCUGAUGCAGCAACGCCGCGUGCGGGAUGACGGCCUUCGGGUUGUAAACCGCUUUCGCCUGUGACGAAGCGUGAGUGACGGUAAUGGGUAAAGAAGCACCGGCUAACUACGUG